CUCAGGGAUCCCAUGAUGCAUGCAGCUGGAGAUGUGGCAGUGAGGACAGGCUGGUCGGGGCUGCUCCAGCACCACCCUGCGCUGUCCCCGCUGGUGUCUGGGGAGGGGUCCCCCUGGGCUGGGAGAGGGUCUGGUGCCUGCAGAGAUGGAGGAGGCUCCAGGAGCCGGGGUUUGGAGCCUGCGGGGAUGGAGGAGGCUCCAGGUGGCUCCAGGAGCCCCGGGGUUUGUCCCCAAGUGGCAGCAGUGCUGUCAGUGGCAGCCACCUGGGCCAGCCUUUCUCCACCCCCUCUGUGACCUGCAAAGCCUCUAAAGCAAAAGCUCCUGGUGGCUGCCAGUCCUGUCUGUCCCCUGAGCUCUCUGGGGACAGUUGUAUUCCAGAAAAACAGUGGGGAACAAAAGUCCCCUGCCCCUCCCAUCCACUCCCCUUCCCAUCCACAUCCCUUUGGCUAAAGGACACAGUGACCCCCAAAUCCAGUCACAAGAGUCACUUUCCUCGUCAAGCCUUACAUCCUAACCUCACCCUUAAUCCCAGCACGCCUGCAUCAGCCCAGCCCCAUUAAGAGGUGUCUGUACCCCAUUAAAGGGAGUUCAAGAGCCUGGAGAAGUGGCCACUGUCACAGACGAACCCAGCCCGGUGACAAGCUGGUAUUUGUGGCAUCCAAAGCCACGCUGGACACCUUUCACUGUGGUGUGGCUCACCCUGAAGGGGUGGGAAUGCUCUGAACCCUUCACUGAACGUGUGGGGUCAUUGCUGCACAGGGCUGCAGUCCCAUCCUGAUCUCUGAUUCAGAGAAAAAUAGAAUGAAAUCACAGAAUCAAUCACAAAAAUCACAGAAUCACAGAGUCAUAGAAGGGUUUGGGUUGGAAGGGACUUUAAAUCCCACCCAGUGCCACCCCUGCCCUGGCAGGGACACCUCCCACUGCCCCAGGUGCUCCCAGUGUCCAGCCUGGCCUUGGGCACUGCCAGGGAUCCAGGGGCAGCCACAGCUGCUCUGGCAAUUCCAUCCCAGCCCUGCCCACCCUGCCAGGGAACAAUUCCUGCCCAGGAUCCCAGCCAGCCCUGCCCUCUGGCAGUGGGAGCCAUUCCCUGGCUCCUGUCCCUCCCUGCCUUGUCCCCAGUCCCUCUGCAGCUCUCCUGGAGCCCCUCCAGGCCCUGCCAGGGGCUCUGAGCUCUCCUGGAGCUUCUCCUCUGCAGGUGUCACCCCCAGCUCUCCCAGCCUGGCUCCAGAGGGGCUCAGCCCUGCAGCAGCUCCCUGGCCGGGACAUUUCCCAGCGCAAAGCAGCGACCCUCGAUGUGCAGAAAGAUUUGGAGACGAGCGCAGAGAGGAGAUAAGGGCUGAGGAGAAGGUGAAUGUUUCAGAGAGGGACCU
rnacentral:lncRNA from 1 species